UUCAACUCCCAAAAGAAUCAAUUCUUACCAGCUCCGAAGCAUCAGGAAUUUGGCUUCCCAUUUAUUUCCGCUGAUCAACAGUCUUCCACUAAAAUUCAGAAAGCAAAAGAUCAGAGGAUUUAGUGCUCAGAAAUGGCGCAGCCUAGCAAAGAGCCAUGUAAAAAACAAGCCUGUGAUAUUCAAGCUUGCCUUUCCAAGAACAAUUUUCUCUCGCAAAAGUACGUAAUUUUUUUUAUCAUUAAACUUUCAUUUUGUUCGUUGUUAUUGAUUGAUUAAUUAGUCGCUCGUUUUCUGAACUCAUUAAAAGAAUAAAACCCACUAAUUAGUUUUCUAAUGGGAUUAAAUUGAAAUAAAGGUUUUUGAUUUGUUUUAUUAUCUUUAUAUUUCUU
rnacentral:lncRNA from 1 species